AUUAAUCCCAAAGGGGAGUAGCAUAAUAGCAGCUGUCGUCAUUACAGGAGAAAUCCUCGGCACUGCUGGCAACCGUUUCAUUUCGUUGCUUGCGAGACCUUUGUCCAAAAA
rnacentral:misc_RNA from 1 species